UUUCAGAAUCUGCAUUUUUAAUAAGUGUCCCCCGCCAGGAAAAUGCAAAUGAAAACCACAAUGAGCUAUCCCUUGACACCCACUAGAAUGGCUGGAAUAAAAGAGAUUGUACCUUUUCCGGUGAUUUGUCACUGCCUGGUGCCUGAGUGAAAGCAGGUUUCAGAAGUGAGCAUCACAGGGAGAAAGAAGAGCUGUGGUCCCCAGGAGUCCUGAACAAGGCAUUUGGGAGCAGUGGGUAGACAUGUGUGACUCCUGGGAACAGAUGGCAUGGCGGCCGGACACUAUAGAGGAGGAAGAGCUGAUAACCAGUGGGACCACUUUCCACCACAGACUUUGGAUUCAACAAUUCAGUUUCUAGAACUUUACAGGGUCCCAGGUCCCAGGAGCUAGAGCCUUUGAAGCAGGAGAUCCAUGAAGAACUGACCCAGCUGAAGGCUGGACUUGGUGACCGGCCAGGCACCAGGGUCCUGGGGGUUCUGGAAGGGUCUCUGGUGUGCUGUGGGUGUGGUGGGACUCUGCUUGAGUAACCGUCCCUCACUCAGCUAGGAACACAGAGUGACAAGGAUGGUUCCCCUUGGUAUUCCCAGGGGCACACAGUAGGCACUAAAUUAAACCAGUCUCUUAUUCUGAGCUCCCUACUUCUCCCAGUCUGGAGGAUAUGGGACCGGGACUCCUAGUUCUCCUGGGCCUGGGGGAGGGUAGCAAGUGGGGGAGGGGGGCGAGCCGUUGGGCAUGGAGAACCAAGGAGGGCCCCCUCCCCGACCCUCAGGGGAUUGAAGAGUGGGCAGACCUGGGGUUAGGGGCAUCAAGCUGAGUCCCAGCCCUGCCACCUGCCCCAUCCCUGGGAGCGGACAUUCUUCUGAGGCAACUGUUACUCCUUCAGCUCCCAACAGAACUAACACGACUCUGUCACUGCCUGCCAGGAAGUGGGGGCCCGACUCGUCGUUACCGAAAGUGCCGGGAAGCAGAUGCAUCUGUCCAGGGAGUCAGCCUGACCUGGGGCAUGCCCCUGGCCACUGGUCCACUGGGCACAAGAGAGCCAGAUGAGAUUUUCUGGAAGAGAGACUGCCUGCUUCACUUGGGGGGGCGGGGGAGGAUAAGAACCAGGCAUCCUGCAAGGAGGUACAAAUGAGAUCUGGACACCUGGGUCUGGGGGACACGUAAAACAUAAAUAAGCUCCGGUGGUGUCCUGACAAAUGGCUAACACUUAGCUCUCUGGAGGGAGCGGGGGAUAAGUCCUGAUUUGGAGUGUUGGCCAGUUUCCCUGGCGUACGUACUGCCACUGUGGCUGAUCUCAAGCCAUUCACGUGAUGCCGUCACUGCGGAGCUGACAAGAUACACGGUGGGGACCUGGCUUGAUUUGACUCCAGCACGUCAAACCCAGGCAUGAGUCAACUCAUGGGUAUAUGCUUGGCACAUGUAAGAGCACACAAACAUGCAGUAUUACCAGGUGUGUGUGCUGAGAGACCAGUUGUGUGCAUGUGUCUGCAAGUCGGAACAUACGUGCUCAUAGGAUACAGAUGUGAGAGGCGCUCAGGACCUGGCCUGGCAGGAAGCGUAAGGUCCCACUGAAAGACGAGCUUGCUGCCAGGCAACUGGAGAGAUGCUGAGCCCAGAAAGUGGGGUCAGAGCCCCCUCCUGACUUCCCUACGUCCACCAGAACUUCCUACAGCUGCAGACUUCCAAGAGAAGCUGCUUCACCUGGGAGACUGGGUGGCUCAGUUGGUUAAGCGGCUGCCUUCGGCUCAGGUCAUGGUCCUGGGGUCCUGGGAUUGAGUCCCACGUCAGGCUCCCUGCUCAGCGAGGAGUCCACUUCUCUCUCUGCCUCUCUCCCCACUUGUGCUCUCUCUCUCUCUAAUAAAUAAAUAAAAUCUUAAAAAAGGAAGGGAAAAAAUCACUUCACCUGCACGGGGCUCUCAGACAUGGAACAUGAAGGCAGAGGGCACUGGGUGGAUGAUUCACCCCUGCUGCCCAGGUGAGUCUUAGGAGAAGGAAACACUCUAUCAAGUGGGAGUGGGAUUCUGAAACCCUUACAUGGGUGUUUACCUGGGUACCCCCCCCCCCUCCAUUCCCUGGCCCCUAGGCUGGAGAGUCUGGGAUUCUUUUUUUAAAGAUCCAUACUCAGGCGAUGGUGGCCCUAAGUAUGAGAGCCUGAUAAGGGAGGUAGUUGGGGGUGCGGGCUCUGGAUUGGUUGUUGUGUACUUGAAAUGCAUACCCCAGGGAGGAGGGCUCCUCCAAGAACUGGAGGGGCACAACAAUCAGGGAGACAGGAGACCCCGGCAAGGAGACUCAGGCACUCAUCGGGUUGUCCAGAAUACAUGCAUACAGGGCAGGUGUGAAAGCAUCAAGUGAGCUGAAGCUAUUAACAUGAUUGACCCAGUGGGCCAGGGACAUGGACUCAUGUCCGGGAUGGGCUUUGCAGCUUUCUGAAGUCUUGGAACAAAGGAGAACCCACCAGCAGUGGGUGGGAAGACUGGGGGACUUAGGGUAACCCCAAAUGUGAUUUUGGCAGAAAGCC